CUUGCUCCCAAAGAUUAGCGGCGGACGGGUGAGUAACACGUGGGCAACCUGCCUGUAAGACUGGGAUAACUUCGGGAAACCGGAGCUAAUACCGGAUAAUCCUUUCCCUCACAUGAGGGAAAGCUGAAAGACGGUUUCGGCUGUCACUUACAGAUGGGCCCGCGGCGCAUUAGCUAGUUGGUGAGGUAACGGCUCACCAAGGCCACGAUGCGUAGCCGACCUGAGAGGGUGAUCGGCCACACUGGGACUGAGACACGGCCCAGACUCCUACGGGAGGCAGCAGUAGGGAAUCUUCCGCAAUGGACGAAAGUCUGACGGAGCAACGCCGCGUGAGCGAAGAAGGCCUUCGGGUCGUAAAGCUCUGUUGUCAGGGAAGAACAAGUGCYGGAGUAACUGCCGGCACCUUGACGGUACCUGACCAGAAAGCCACGGCUAACUACGUGCCAGCAGCCGCGGUAAUACGUAGGUGGCAAGCGUUGUCCGGAAUUAUUGGGCGUAAAGCGCGCGCAGGCGGUCCUUUAAGUCUGAUGUGAAAGCCCACGGCUCA
rnacentral:rRNA from 2 species